CGCAGAGACAGGAUCCGCCGCUUUGUCUCUGUCUGGUCCGGGCCCGCAGCUCUAUGGAGCCUGUGGAUCCCCUUGUCCGGGUAGUGGCGUCUGGGCUGGGAGGAGGCGUGGUCCGCACUCUCUCUCCCGGCGCCCGCGCCCACCUUCCCCGGGCUGCUGACCGAGCCGCCGGGCAGCUUGCCCUUCCCGCUCCUGAAGCCAGAGGUCUUCUUCAUGGCUGCGUCUGCAGGCUUCGGAGACCCGCUGGACUUUUCGCCGCCUCCGGAACCCUGUAUGAGGAAGCAAAUCGCGUCCGCCACAGCCUCCAACCAGAAAACUCCGCGACGCUCAGCCUCUCAGAAGAGAAACAGAGACGCGCCAAGCAAAGCCGUUACACGGCCUGUGCACGCGCCCCCGGUGUCCCUGCGCGUGACACUAAGUUGGCCCCGAGGGAGCUCCGUGUGCCUGAGUCCCAGGAGCCCUAGAUACCAGCGACAGCUUGUGACCAGGCCUGCGACGCCGUCCAAGGGGCGGGAGUCGGCGGAGCUCAGGACACUGACGAUGGGCCGGGGCAGGAGGAAAGCUGUCCGCACACAGCCUGGGGCCAGAGGAGCGGCCUGCCAGGGCCAGACGGAGGAAGACCACGGGAAGCAGGCUGGACGUGCAGGGAAGGGUCCAGUCCCACCCGCGGGUGCAGGGAGCAGCCUGUGGGGAGGGGACCCAGGGCCGCGUGGGAAGAGUCAGGGAGCUUAGGUGGACGGCCCGGCAGGAAGAGAGGGGAAGGCUGAGCAGGGAAGCGGUCCCCAAGUCAGCCAAGGCAGAGUUCCCAGGCCUUGGGAUCCGCCACCCACAAGCACACUUGGAGGCAGCAUCCUUGCGGGCCUCCCGCCGGGGCAUGGGCCCUCCAGCCGGCCCAGCGCGCCACCGCCCCUCUGUCCCCAACCACCCACGAGAGAAUCUGGGUCACCAAGGCAAAGCCGGCUCAGCCUCAGAGCUGCAGGCGACAGCGCCCGUCUGCAUGAAUGUCAUGAGGACUGGACAUGGGCCUAUCAGGGCCAUGGGCAUGAUGUCAGCCAAGGAACUCAUGGCCUGCCUCUGCCAAGAGACCAGCACCUCAUCCUGAGCACUCCCAGCCUCGCAUCACCUUCCCCCUGGCUACAUUCAGCUGCCAUGCCCCUACCUCCUUGUGUGGUCAGCACCCUCCAGGACUUCAUCUCAGGGCACCCAAAGGCUGAGGACAUUGCUGGCCAGCAGGAAAUUCAUGGUGCAUCCAGGAAGACUUCCAAGAGGUGGUGGAGCAGGGGGCGCCACACCCACACAGCUGCGUGUAAUUGUGCAGCUGCGGGCUGCUGCGGGUGCUGGCUGGCAGUGCAUUCUGGGCAUACUGGACUGUGUCACCACAUGCAGGCUGUGACUGGAGGAGGAACUGCUGGCCUCCAAGGCGUAUGUGCCUGGAAACCAGCAGGGGGCUGCUGCAGGAGGAGGGCUGCAGGAUGCUUCGGCUCAGACCCGACUCAGGGUUUUAGAAGGCACAGGGCAUAAGGCUGUGGACAUAGACAGCCCUACUGCGUAGGAAGAGCAUAAACCAGCCGGACGCCAUGCGUGGGGCCUGCGGUUGCAUUCUGGUCUCCUUUGAGGUAAGGAAGGGUGUUUUUCUAUUUUAUGGGUGAGCAAACUGAGGCAGAGUGCUGGAGUGAUUUCCCCCAGCAGCGAUGGCAGAUUUAGCUCCAGGGCUUCAAUUUUAGGAUCCUCUCUCUCAGAUACCAUGAUGUAUCAUGGACUUUCUCUCCACAGAAACUUAGAAACUCAGAAAUGGAAAGGGAACAAUGAAACUUACCCUUUCUCCCACUGCUCACAUUUCCUUCUGGUCUUUUUGUGUGUGCAUAUAAAAUAUAUCUCAGAAAAUUGA